rnacentral:rRNA from 1 species
AGCCACAUCAGACUGAAAUACCAGUUCUUGUAUAAUCACUGAAGUUAAGCAACAUUAAGCCUAGUCAGUAACUAGAUGGGUGAUCACUUGGGAAUAUCAGGUGCUGUAA